rnacentral:rRNA from 1 species
AGUGAACGCUGGCGGCAGGCCUAACACAUGCAAGUCGAGCGGCAGCGGGUCGUAGCAAUACGAUGCCGGCGAGCGGCGGACGGGUGAGGAAUACAUCGGAAUCUACCCAGUCGUGGGGGAUAACGUAGGGAAACUUACGCUAAUACCGCAUACGACCUGAGGGUGAAAGCAGGGGACCGCAAGGCCUUGCGCGAUUGGAUGAGCCGAUGUCGGAUUAGCUAGUUGGUGAGGUAAAGGCUCACCAAGGCGACGAUCCGUAGCUGGUCUGAGAGGAUGAACAGCCGCACUGGAACUGGGACACGGUCCAGACUCCUACGGGAGGCAGCAGUGGGGAAUAUUGGACAAUGGGCGCAAGCCUGAUACAGCCAUGCCGCGUGUGUGAAGAAGGCCUUCGGGUUGUAAAGCACUUUUGUCCGGGAAGAAAUCUUCCGACCUAAUACGUCGGGAGGAUGACGGUACCGGAAGAAUAAGCACCGGCUAACUUCGUGCCAGCAGCCGCGGUAA